UACGGGGGGAGCAAGCGUUGUUCGGAUUUACUGGGCGUAAAGGGCGCGUAGGCGGUCAGCACAAGUCAGUUGUGAAAUCUCCGAGCUUAACUCGGAAAGGUCAACUGAUACUGUGCGACUAGAGUGCAGAAGGGGCAACUGGAAUUCUCGGUGUAGCGGUGAAAUGCGUAGAUAUCGAGAGGAACACCUGCGGCGAAGGCGGGUUGCUGGGCUGACACUGACGCUGAGGCGCGAAAGCUAGGGUAGCAAACGGG
rnacentral:rRNA from 1 species